AGGAAGUUCUCUGUGAGUUCCAGACCAACCUGGUCUACAUAGAGAAUGCCAGACUAACCAGGGUGAUGUAGUGAUACCCUGCUUCAUAAAAAAGUAAGAAUGGAGGAGGGGCUUCAGAGUUCCUUCUGAACAUUCUCCCUGGGGAGUGUCAGACCAGUUCCCAGAGCAAAGGAGAGGUCUGACCUUCUAUACCCUUUUGUCACACGGCUUACUUCAUCAUCGCAUACAUGACAAAGAGCACGGCGGAGCCAGGGACCAUAAAUUGAGAACUGUCAAGGUACGGCAAGACUGCUUCCUCACUGCCCAGCUGCAGGGAUGCCUGGCCUGCCUGAUGCAGGCUGUGGGGUCUGGCCUAAAGUCCAGGCCUGGGUUCUAACAGACAGAGCUCAGUUGGUAGAGUGCUUGCCUAGUGUGCACAACACGCUAGGUUCCAUCCCCUGUAUCACAUAAAACCAGAUGUGGUCAAGGUCCUCCUCAGCUACACAGCUAAGUUCAAGGACCAUCUGGACUACAGCAGAUACCAUCUUAAGACAAAAGAAUAAAAUAAAAUCCCUCUUAAUUUAUUUCUUAAUCAUGAAAUAAUACCAAAUUUACUGAAUAGUUCCCUAAUGGCACUGGAAGUUUCUAUAUAGAAACUCAUGAGGCUGGUGAGAUGGCUUAGGGAGAGUCAAACCUGAGGGCCUGAGUUUGGAUCCCCAGCACACACAUAAAAGAGAAGCCACAUAUGACAACACAUGCCUGGAACCCCAGUGACAGGGGAAAGCAGACAGGAAAAUCCAUGGGGCUUGCUGGCCAGCCAGUCCAGCUGAAUUAGUGAUCUCUAGGAUCGAUGAGUCAGCCUGUCUCAAGAAAAAUGGCUCAGCAGUUAAGAUCAUUAAUGCUCUUGGGGAGGACCUGGGUUCAGUUGCUAGCACCCACAUGGUGGUUCACAACUGUGUAAUUACAGUUUCAGGGGACCUGACACCCUUCUCUGGCCUCCGUGGGCACCAGACAGAAUGUGGUGACCAUGAAUGUAAACACUCAUACACAUAAUAUUUUAAAAAAUGUUUUAAAAAUACAGAGAGAGAUUGAGAAGACUCUUGACCUGCAAGUGCGCAGACCUACACACAAAAAUUUCAGGCACAUGGAGUUAUUAACAGUUCAAAACAUUGUCUUAUGCACCUAUAAAUCUAUUGCAUAUAGAUGUAUAUAUAUUUUGCUUUCUCAGAAUUACUUGAGAAUAAAUGCAGUAUGUAUUUCCUGGAAACAAGGGCAUUCUCCUACAUAAUCACAGCACCAAUGUUGAUCCAGAACUGGCAGCCAGCUCAUAGAUCCCAUUCAAGUCUUACGUGCAGUAUCCACAGGGUCCUGCCAGGACCCAGGAUCCCUGCAGGAUCUGCUACUGACGUCACUUGUGUCCCUCAAACCUCCUGUCAGCUGAAACAGUUCCUCUGUGUUCCCUUGUGUUUCAUGACCUUGACAUUUCUGAAGAACAAGCCAGCUGCUAUCUGAAGAAUGCCAGUUGGGGAGGGUCUGAAGUUUUCUGGGGGUUAGAGCUAGGUCACACAUUCCUGCAGGGGACCUGGUGAUGAUGCUGCCUUCCCGGUGCAUUAGUCUGUGACAUUAAACUGUCCCUUGCCAGGGAUGUUGCUGUGAUUCGGAUGGGUUGGUAAAACAUGAGGGGGGCUGGCAGGUGGGGCACCUGCCCACAGGUGUCAGCAUGCCCUUCUUGUGAAACUCAACGGAUUUAUAGUCUCAGGUGACAAGGGAGUCACAAAAGCAGGGUGGGGGUUCUGGGAAGUGUCUGAGCACCAUGUGGCAGCUACUGUCCUUAGAGUAGCAGAGCCCUGGCAUAUAUCCUGAAGUCACCCAAGGGCUAUCUGGCUGGUGGGUAUGCUCUCAGCCUGACACCCUCCUGGAACCAGGACCUCCUAGGACAAAUCUCAAGGUUCUCAGAGCACCUGGCUUGGGAGACAGAGAGAAGGAGUGAAAAAGACCCCAGGGGAUAAAUAGAGGCUGAGCCUGGGAAGACAGCAUCACAUCCCAGUGCCUGUGAGUACAGUACCAGAGUUCCUACAGGAGGCCUCCCCAACCUGACCACCCUUUCCUAACAUCUUGUGCUUAUCCAAAAGUCUCUGAAGCACCAGGCCUGGGUCACAAUGAAGUCACUGGCUGCUCCGUCCCAUAAGGUGCGGGACAGGUUUUAGGAAGGGCUGUCACCUCAUUUAGCCUGGGUCUCCUCACUUGACAGGUGGGGCAGUGAUACUGGCCUCAGGGAGCCUGCCUCAGGAGGAAAUGUAAUGGCAGUAUACAGUGCAUGGCCACUGAGCUGGGACAUGGGGGAAUACUAAUUCUGCUGUCUGUGGGGGUCCUGGGACCAAUCCUCCUGAGGUACUGAUGACCUGUGACCUCCUGGGGGAAAAGUGAGGUGGGUCUUCUGGCCAAGAAGCUGUACUGCAGGCCCUCUGAUUCAUCCAGCGGCCCCUCCUGCUUCAGAGAAAGGAUUCAGGCUUGGACUCAC